GCGGACGUAGUUCAGCUGGUUAGAAUGCCUGCCUGUCACGCAGGAGGUCGCGGGUUCAAGUCCCGUCGUUCGCGCCA
rnacentral:tRNA from 3 species